rnacentral:lncRNA from 1 species
AUGAAACUUCUUCACACUUUGGUCAUCCUCUUCUUCCUCUCUCUGCAGGACAGAAGCACAGCACAAAGCAUCACCUAUAUAGGAACUACAGGAGGACAAAUCACAGUGAAAUGUUCUGAGUCUUUUCAGACAAGCUGGAAGACGUUCUGUAAGGAUCCCUGUAACAGGAACAUUCUCAUCCAAACUACUGGUGUCAGAGCUCACAGCGGCAGAUACAGCAUCAAAUAUGAGCGAGGACAUUUUUCUGUGAGCAUCACUGAGCUGAUCAAGUCUGACUCAGGACGGUACAGGUGUGGGGUGUCAUCAGCUCCAUAUGUGGAGUUUGGAAUCACUGUUGUAGAUGCACUGCUGGAAGGAGACUAUGAUCCUGCAGAAAGGCCCAUCCACACCAGGACUGGAGGAGAUCUGACUGUUGCAUGUUCCUUUGCUUUUCCUGGAAGCAUGAAGUUGUUCUGUAAGGGAGAGUGUGAUGAAGGAGACGUUCUUGUUAGAACAGGAGAUGACUCAGCUACAAGUGACAGAUACAGCAUAGAACAUACAAGAGCAUCUGGUAGAGGAGUCUUUCUGUUUGUGACCAUCACACAGCUGAGACAGUCUGACUCAGGAUGGUACAGCUGUGCUCUGGGAAGGACUAUCCUUCCUGACUCAUCCUGGGAAUUUAAUGUGAUUGUCACAGAUGCUCCACAUGAGACUCCUGGUCCUUUGUCAACAUCAGUCCUGUCAACAUCAGUCCCAUCAACCUCCACAGGUUUUACAGAGCUCAGCAGCCACUCUGAGCAGCCGCACACAGCUGGAGGGCCCACAGGAAGUGUGAUGUCAGAAGUGACUCUGCUGUAUGUGGGCCUGACUCUGCUCGGCACUGUGCUGCUGCUGUCUCUGGGUGUGCUCCUUCUCUGCAGGAGGAGGUUUGCCCAACACAAAGACGCUCCUGUGGAACCACAGUCUGCUCCAGUCACAGAGCACAUCCAAACGGACCAAGACUUCAGAGAGCAGCACAGUCGAGGCAGAGAGCCCCCUGUGGAAAUCUCUUCCAUCUACACUUACGCCAAAUACACCGGACCAGACGGAAUCGAAGCUGACCACGAAUACAGUUCUGUCCCUGCAGCCUGGCCUCAACACGAGGCUGAAGAUGACCUCAAUGAACUCACCUACACAAAGGUGGAUUUCUCCAGCAGGACAGCCGGCUCGCUUCACAGUGCCCCCCGUGGUCGGCAGGACGACGUCAUCUACUCUGAGCCCCGGGUGGCAGCGAACUGUGAUUCCAGCCAGGCCGGAGACGAUCCGCCUCUGUAUGCCACUAUUGGCACCUGUCAGCUUUAA